AAAUGAAUAGACGGGGGCCCGCACAAGCGGUGGAGCAUGUUGCUUAAUUCGAGGCAACGCGAAGAACCUUACCCAGGUUUGACAUGCAUAGGACUGGUGGUGAAAGCCACUUUCCCUUCGGGGUCUAUGCACAGAUGCUGCAUGGCUGUCGUCAGCUCGUGCCGUGAGGUGUUCGGUUAAGUCCGGCAACGAGCGCAACCCGUGCCGUCAGUUACCAUCAGGUAAUGCUGGGGACUCUGGCGGGACUGCCCGUGUCAAGCGGGAGGAAGGCGCGGAUGACGUCAAGUCCGUAUGGCUCUUACACCUGGGGCUGCAAACGUGCUACAAUGGCCGGUACAAAGGGGAGCGAGUUCGCGAGACCAAGCCAAUCCUUAAAACCGGCCCCAGUUCGGAUCGCAGUCUGCAACUCGACUGCGUGAAGCCGGAAUCGCUAGUAAAGGGGCAUCAGCAACGGCCCCUUGAAUACGUUCCCGGGCCUUGUACACACCGCCCGU
rnacentral:rRNA from 1 species